AGCGAACGCUGGCGGCAGGCUUAACACAUGCAAGUCGAGCGGGCACUUUCGGGUGUCCGCGGCGGACGGGUGAGUAACGCGUGGGAACGUGCCCUCUGGUUCGGAAUAACUCAGGGAAACUUGAGCUAAUACCGGAUACGCCCUUUUGGGGAAAGGCUUGCUGCCGGAGGAUCGGCCCGCGUCUGAUUAGCGAGUUGGUGAGGUAACGGCUCACCAAGGCGACGAUCAGUAGCUGGUCUGAGAGGAUGAUCAGCCACACUGGGGCUGAGGCACGGCCCAGACUCCGACGGAAGGGAGCAGAGGGGAAUAUUGGAGGCUGGGGGCAAGCCUGGUCCAGCCAUGCCGGGUAAGUGAUGAAGGCGUUAGGGUUGUAAAGCUCUUUUAUCCGGGACGAUAGUGACGGUAACGGGGGAAUAAGCCCCGGCUAACUUCGUG
rnacentral:rRNA from 1 species